rnacentral:rRNA from 1 species
UACGAAGGGGGCUAGCGUUGCUCGGAAUCACUGGGCGUAAAGCGCACGUAGGCGGAUCUUUAAGUCAGGGGUGAAAUCCUGGAGCUCAACUCCAGAACUGCCUUUGAUACUGGGGAUCUCGAGUCCGGAAGAGGAGAGUGGAAUUCCUGGUGUAGCGGUGAAAUGCGCAGAUAUCAGGAAGAACACCCGUGGCGAAGGCGGGUCUCUGGGCAGUAACUGACGCUGAGGAGCGAAAGCGUGGGGAGCGAACGGG